ACCAGAAUGGCUGAGUGGUUAAGGUGUUGGACUUAACAUCCCAUGGAUUUAUAUCCUUAUGGGUUUGAAUACUAUUUCUAGUA
rfam:Ovis aries breed Texel chromosome 1, whole genome shotgun sequence.